UGAGUUUGAUUCUGGCUCAGGAUGAACGCUGGCGGCGUGCUUAACACAUGCAAGUCGAGCGGACCGAUCUAAAGGAAGCCUUCGGGUGGAAAAUAGUGAGGUUAGCGGCGGACGGGUGAGUAACGCGUGGGUAACCUGCCCUAUGCAGGGGGAUAACACAUCGAAAGAUGUGCUAAUACCCCAUAAUACUAAUCAUGCACAUGCUUGAUUGGUCAAAGGGUUUCCGGCAUAGGAUGGACCCGCGUCUGAUUAGCUAGUUGGUGGGGUAAAGGCCUACCAAGGCGACGAUCAGUAGCCGACCUGAGAGGGUGAUCGGCCACACUGGAACUGAGACACGGUCCAGACUCCUACGGGAGGCAGCAGUGGGGAAUAUUGCACAAUGGGCGAAAGCCUGAUGCAGCAACGCCGCGUGAGCGAUGAAGGCCUUCGGGUCGUAAAGCUCUGUCCUAAGGGAAGAAUAAUGACGGUACCUUAGGAGGAAGCCCCGGCUAACUACGUGCCAGCAGCCGCGGUAAUACGUAGGGGGCGAGCGUUAUCCGGAAUCA
rnacentral:rRNA from 1 species